rnacentral:rRNA from 1 species
UACAGAGGGGGCAAGCGUUGUUCGGAAUUACUGGGCGUAAAGAGCGCGUAGGCGGUGCGGUGUGUUUGGUGUGAAAUCUCCCGGCUCAACUGGGAGGGUGCGCCGAAAACUGGGGGUGCUGGAGCGCGGGAGAGGAAAGCGGAAUUCCUGGUGUAGCGGUGAAAUGCGCAGAUAUCAGGAGGGACACCGGUGGCGAAGGCGGGUCUCUGGGCCGAUACUGACGCUGAGGAGCGAAAGCGUGGGGAGCGAACAGG